rnacentral:lncRNA from 1 species
AUGCAGUCUUGUAUUUUCCUUUUACAUUUUCAAAUGUAAAUUAAAUUUAAAUUUAAAUGUAAAACACUGCCUAAACAGUUGUAAUGUUGAAUAUUAUUUUCUCAUGCACUUUCAUGUAUAUAAUUAUUUCUCCAUUAGAUGAUAGGAAUGUUGCCUCCCCCCAUUUAAAAAUCUUUUUGUAUAUAGAUUUCAUGUGUCAAUGAUAAAAGAACAGAAAUAGGUAAAUCUUUUGUGAUAUACAAGAUGUACAUUACUAAAAAAGAAAUGUGAAAUAUAAAAAUGGGACCCAAUCAUUUCAGUAAGUUUUAUUACUAAUAUUAAUCAUGUUAAUAGAUAAUUAACGUUAACUUUGACCCUUUAAAUUCUGUGUUUUAUAUUCUCAUGGAUCCCAGACUGCAUCAUGCCUUUAAUAGUGCUCUUUAGAGAGAAUGAUUUUUCUUUCUAAAACACAUCUAAGUAUGCUUUGUUGAGUAGUUUCACUGUAAAAGCAAAUACAAGUGGGAGGAUAAAAAGAAAAACAAUUUCAAAGGAAGGAAGGAGAGAAGGAAGAGAAAAGAAAGGAGGAAGAAAUUUCGUUAACCAUAUUCUAAGGCCUAUACCACCAUUAGUAAACUGUAGAUAUAUUUUAAUUCAUUUCUCAUACUUCUCCUUGAAAAGCAUAUCUUCCCAUGUUAAGCGGAACAAGAACUCAAGUUCAGAUUUAAUAGAGUGCAGAGGGGAAGGCUGAGAGUGGGUGCAAGAGUUCACGAAAAAAGCUGGAGAGAGGAUGGAGGGCCAAGCAUCCAGUUUAUGAGAGAGGAAAGGGGCUGCAGGAUCACGCUCCUUUUGUAACAUCCCCCUGCGUUUCUGGUCCUCAACUCCAAGUCUGCAGGGUGCGACCAGCCCCAGAGCCAGCAGAGCUGAGAUAGACACCCCUCCUGGUUUAGCUCUGCUGCGCACACCAUCCCAAGACCUGUGGGGUCAGGCCAUGCGGGCAGCUCAGCAGCCACAAGGUCAUGGCUGGGUUUGGCAUGAAAUGCUCACACUCGGAGUGAAAAUAGGCCUCUGAAGAAGGAUGAAGCAACAGCCAAGAAAGAACCACUUUGCAAACAGACUUCCGAGGAGAAUGAGCCUCUUGAAAUCCUCUGUGCAAAAGUUCACACCAUAAAACAGCUGCUGCUUAAUGUCUCCGGCUUCUAAUGAGCCCCGAGCUCCCGGUUUGCACAGAACUUCCUGGCGAAUGGUGUCCAAGGUCCUUUGCUCUUCCCCGCGCCGUUCAAUCCCAGAAGCAGGAGGUGGCAGCAUGAGAAGUCAUUCCUCCAAGGCGAAUCGUGCUGGCUGGCUGGCUUUCUGCACUCCCACAUAACUGACCACGGUCCUUUCUGAUUCACCCAUGGAGCACAAGGACAGAAGCCAAAGGGUUUGUCUCUGCUUCCUGGGAUGUUGAUUCCUGCCCUGAUGGAGCCCAGGAGAUUUACGCCUCCUCCCCACCCAUCCUCACCCUCACGUCCAACUACCCCACCCUCCUUCCCCAGUGUUUCUGAGCUCUAAGGCACACAGGGCUGCAUUACAAAAGUACUCAACUAAAAGGUGUAUAUUUUGCAUCCCACACCUUCCAAGAAUAUGCUGAAACUCCUCUCCACAAAAAGACACAGCUGUGGUCAACAGUCCCUAGGCUCCCCAAAACAGCAUGUCCUCCACACUCAGCAACCAGGCCUCUGCUUUCUCUUCUGGAGUGGGAAGGAAGGAAAGGAAUAUGAGAAGGCAGGGUAGAAGAGCUGUAGCCCACCCCUACUCAGCCGGCUGGAAAGCUCCAAUUUGUUAACCUAGAAAACCCUGGGGCAUUGCAAUCAAAGAGUGGCUCCACCCAAGCAAAUAACUCGGAUUAUUUUUUUCCCUACUAGUGGGCAAGAAGAGAAAAGGGAAAAUAAGGACAAAUGUGUUCAAAACAGAAAUACUGCAUAACACUAACUUGGCUUUGGGCAAGGACCAGAUUAUAGGCCCAACACCUCCAUUUCUGUCCAAGUGGAAAGAGAAACUACAGGGUGCAACCUUAAUCCAGCUGCAUGAACUCUGUUGCCCAGAGACUCUGCCAGCCCAAGAAGAUCAACAUAAC